AAUCCUAUACUUUUUUUAAAAAAAGUUUGCGUGUUUUCUUCAGUUUUAUACAUGUCCAAAAGACCAGAGUUUGGAAAGGUUUUAGAGAUCCAAAGCCUAUGUUAUGUGAAGACGACGGAGAAAAAAUUGUCACUGCGUUUCAAAUAAAGAUGGUUCAUGAAACUUCACCAAUGAACCCAUGGAUAAUAUGUGAAUGGUCUGUUGUCAAAGGAAUACAUCGAUUUAAUAAAAAGCGUCUGGAGAACAAGGAUACCGUUAAUUCUUUGUCAUUUUUACGUGUUUGUAUUAGUUAGAUGCAUGUGAAGAAACGCUUGUGAACGGGUUAAUUCCGUCUCAAGAAAGGAUAUUGCUCCCGUUCGAAACAAAGCGGCUCUAUGUAUGAAGGGUUGAAAUGC